UACGUAGGGUGCAAGCGUUAAUCGGAAUUACUGGGCGUAAAGCGUGCGCAGGCGGUUAUGUAAGACAGUUGUGAAAUCCCCGGGCUCAACCUGGGAAUUGCAUCUGUGACUGCAUAGCUAGAGUACGGUAGAGGGGGAGUGGAAUUCCGCGUGUAGCAGUGAAAUGCGUAGAUAUGCGGAGGAACACCGAUGGCGAAGGCAAUCCCCUGGACCUGUACUGACGCUCAUGCACGAAAGCGUGGGGAGCAAACAGG
rnacentral:rRNA from 1 species